AGCCCGCGAGCCGGGGAAGCGAGCGGCGGGGGUUGCGCGGGCGCGGAGCGGCUGCAGCGGCCCCGGUCUGCGCUGCUCCACGGGCUUUUCCUGUCUUGGUUCCUUUUUUGGGGGUGCUUUUUCUUACAGAUUUUUUGGCUUUUUUUUUUUCUCCUUUUUCUUUCCUCCUUCUGUACCUUAGAUGAAAAUGGCUACCAGUGACUUGGAGAGCGUUGGGAAGGCAGAGCUGGCAGGCUGUGUCGGAGGGGGGGCCCGGAGGACGGGGAGCUUGCGACGCCCAUCACGGUCGCCCAAGCCGGGCAGCGGCUGCUCGGGGAGCGGGCAGGAAUCGGGCAAAACCGGGCAGGAUCCGCCGCGAUGCGAACUCCCUCGGCGAGUAAAAAUGGUGCCGCGGAGCGGGCGGAUGCUGCGGUGGACACUGCGCUCCCGCGUAGGGAUUAUCCACUUUUUUUUUUUAAUUAUUAUUUAUUUUUGUUGUCAUGCCACAGAUCUACAACUGUACGUGCAAAUAAAAGCGAGAGCUCACGGAUACCGCUUUCCUUCCA